rnacentral:misc_RNA from 1 species
AACGCAUCUUGCACCCUUUGGUAUUCCAAAGGGUACGCCUGUUUCAGUAUCAUUAUAACCUCUCUCCCCAAGGCUUUUUGGCCAUAGGGGGGAAAGAGCAUAACUGGUGGCCCAGCGCUCCUCUUGUGGGAGUUGUCUCGGCUGGAAUAAUUGUCGCAAGGGUAGGCCAAAAGGUCUUUCGCACUUGAUAAAUCUGAUUUGUUAUAGUGUGGGGAUUGGUUUGCCCAAGUUUGCGGCUACCCCUUUACCUUUGAUCUGAAAUCAGGCGGGAUUACCCGCUGAACUUAA